CUACGAAUACUGGGUUAUCGCCCUGUUUCUACAGGGAGGAAAGUCCGGACAGCACAGAGCAGCGCACCACCUAACGGGUGGGACUUUGGGAAACCAGGGGACAGACAGUGCCACAGAAAAUAACCGCCUUGCUUCGGUAGGGUAAGGGUGAAAAUGUAGCGUAAGAGACUACGUUGGAUAUGGGUAACUAUAUACAGGGGUAAACCUUGCGCGCUGAAAUGCUAAAUAGGCGGAUAAUUGAGGGCGGCUCGCCCGAAGUCCGCGGGUUGGCAGAUACAGGUGCUGCGCGAGCAGUAUCGCAGAUAAAUGAUAACGGCCCUGAUGACCAUCAGGGUGACAGAAUCCGGCUUAUAGGUUGAGUAGUUGU
rnacentral:RNase_P_RNA from 1 species